UAUCAACGGCACCACGAGGGUUAGACUGUCUCCUUUUUCAAAUCAGUGAAAUUAAUCUCCCCGUGAAGAAGCGGGGAUACUCAUAUAAGACGAGAAGACCCCAUGGAGCUUCAAACCCAACUACACCCCUAGCUCUUAUAGCCCCACAACCCCCCCCC
rnacentral:rRNA from 1 species